AUACAUGCAAGUCGAACGAGAUUAUCCAGCUUGCUGGAUAUGAAAGUGGCGCACGGGUGCGUAACGCGUAUGCAACCUACCUUAAUCAGGGGGAUAGCCCGGAGAAAUCCGGAUUAACACCGCAUAAAAACACAGGAUAGCAUUAUCCAAUGUUCAAAUAUUAAUAGGAUUGAGAUGGGCAUGCGUGUCAUUAGCUAGUUGGCGGGGUAACGGCCCACCAAGGCGACGAUGACUAGGGGAUCUGAGAGGAUGACCCCCCACACUGGUACUGAGACACGGACCAGACUCCUACGGGAGGCAGCAGUAAGGAAUAUUGGUCAAUGGAGGCAACUCUGAACCAGCCAUGCCGCGUGCAGGAAGACUGCCCUAUGGGUUGUAAACUGCUUUUAUCCGGGAAUAAACCUCAAUACGUGUAUUGAGCUGAAUGUACCGGAAGAAUAAGGAUCGGCUAACUCCGUGCCAGCAGCCGCGGUAAUACGGAGGAUCCAAGCGUUAUCCGGAUUUAUUGGGUUUAAAGGGUGCGUAGGCGGCCUGUUAAGUCAGGGGUGAAAGACGGUAGCUCAACUAUCGCAGUGCCCUUGAUACUGAUGGGCUUGAAUGGACUAGAGGUAGGCGGAAUGAGACAAGUAGCGGUGAAAUGCAUAGAUAUGUCUCAGAACACCGAUUGCGAAGGCAGCUUACUAUGGUUUAAUUGACGCUGAGGCACGAAAGCGUGGGGAUCAAAACAGGAUUAGAUACCCUGGGUAGUCCACGCCCUAAACGAUGAACACUCGCUGUUGGCGAUACACAGUCAGCGGCUAAGCGAAAGCGUUAAGUGUUCCACCUGGGGAGUACGGUCGCAAGAUUGAAACUCAAAGGAAUUGACGGGGGCCCGCACAAGCGGAGGAGCAUGUGGUUUAAUUCGAUGAUACGCGAGGAACCUUACCCGGGCUUGAAAGUUAGUGAAUGAUUUAGAGAUAGAUCAGUCCGCAAGGACACGAAACUAGGUGCUGCAUGGCUGUCGUCAGCUCGUGCCGUGAGGUGUUGGGUUAAGUCCCGCAACGAGCGCAACCCCUAUGUUUAGUUGCCAGCAUGUAAUGGUGGGGACUCUAAACAGACUGCCUGUGCAAACAGAGAGGAAGGAGGGGACGACGUCAAGUCAUCAUGGCCCUUACGUCCGGGGCUACACACGUGCUACAAUGGAUGGUACAGAGGGCAGCUACAUAGCAAUAUGAUGCGAAUCUCACAAAGCCAUUCACAGUUCGGAUUGGGGUCUGCAACUCGACCCCAUGAAGUUGGAUUCGCUAGUAAUCGCGUAUCAGCAAUGACGCGGUGAAUACGUUCCCGGGCCUUGUACACACCGCCCGUCAAGCCAUGGAAGUUGGGGG
rnacentral:rRNA from 1 species